rnacentral:lncRNA from 1 species
UUUCCUUAAAUAUACCAUUAUCACAAAAUAGACAUAAGAUGGUGACAAAAUGACAACAAAUAUACCAUUUUACAUCUAAUUAUAUUCUUUAAAAAAUGAGAAACCAGUAAGAUUAAUCACAAUAGGAAUUCUCAUUGAAGAUCAGACACAAGUUAAAGGUCCAAAAGCCAAACAUACAUGCCAGACAACAACUACUGAGAAUAAAAAGUUUCAGACACUUGAAAUGACAUGAUAAACAAUGACCUCAAGAAUCCAUAACAAAUGCCAGAUUCACCCACAAGAUUAAUUCCCUUCACCUAAUCUACUUAAACAAGCUCCCUACUAUUUCUUCUUGAUGUUAUAACUUUCCGAUUUCUCGAAAUUCCCUCCACCCGCCGCCUGUGCUGCUUUCCUUGCCGCCUUUUCUUGAAGUGCCUUUGCAUCCCUGUUGAGAUAUUAAACACAACAUCCGUGUUAGGAACACAAGCUAAUCGCCCUAAAACACGAGACUUUUGGAGAAAAUUGGCGAAGGAGGAACCUUUCUCGUCUUUGUUCAGGAGUUAAUCCAUCAUUCUUAGGUUGCUUGGUCUUGUGAUUUUCCCUGGCUUGAGCCCUUUCACGAUAUCUAUCUCUCUGGUUCCCGCGUUAGCUUAAGUUAAGGUCAAAACAGGUAGGGAUCGAAUUAAAGUAUGGCAACAUCUAACCAAAGAGAAGGAAAAAAAAACUAAUCUUUGGACCCCAUAGCUGAAGGUAAGAUCACGAGCUUAUGAAGAAUGAAAAUUUAAACUUGACGAAUCCAACCUUUAAAGUUCUUAGCACUGAAUUCAUUGUAUUUUUUUAAUUAUGAAUUCAAAAUUUAAUAUUCAUUGAUAUUUUAAUAACUUUUCACAUAUAUAUUCCCCGUAGAAAAUAGUGGUUCACUUGAACUCACUUUAUAUAGGCUGCAUUCGCCUCUUAUCUGAAGUAUUAUCAAUAUGAGAGAUCACAAUUGAAAGGGCUCAAAUUAAAUCCCCCGACCCCACCUGAUUUCUUAGCAACCAGACGAAUGGAGAAAGAAUCUUGUUUAUCGUUUGACAAAAAUAUGCAUGAAUGUCAGAAAGAUCAUGUUAUGAAAGAAUGGUUAAUUAAAUAGUACGAGAUAUUAUACUUUUAACAAAGGCUCUAUUUUUAGAUUCUUCCCCCAAUUUCUAGGCAACCAACCAAAAGGAUCAAAUGAGCUUGUACAUGAAUAAGCACCAAUAGAAAAAAUAAGAGCUUACCCCAGAAAAAGUUCUAUCUUGAGAUAAUAGUAAGGUUGCGCACGCACUAUCCUCCUCGUACCCCUUAUGGGAUUACACGGGGUUUGUUAUUGUUGUACUCUUACCCGGCGGCGGAGGCAGAAUUUUUGCUAAGGGGUUCAAAAUAGAAAAGUUAAAAAAUUAAAAAAGAAUGUGGCCAGAAUUGAACCAAGGAUCUCUUACAAAGGUUUUGAACCCGAGCUAUGCUUUUGGACAAUAUGAAGGAGAUUCAAAAUAAAAUAUAUAAAGUCAUAAAAUAGAUUUUGCCUUAUAUGUAAAGUGUAAUUUUUCGACGGCAGUAUCAGAGUAAAUCACUUUCCGCCCUCCUAAAUCCGCCCUUACCCAAUUUUAGGCAAACAACCCAAAAUAACUAAAAUCUAAGCGACCAAACAAAUGAAAAAAGAAAGAACCUUGUUUAUGAAAAGGGAAAGAAAAAACCGAUGAAGAUUAGCAUGAAGAAAAUCAGAGAAAAGAAACAUAUCAGAAGGAUAUGAGACAUUCCCAAUUCUCCAACAGCCAAACAAAAUUAGAUGGAUAAAUAGCUCUAGACAAGAUCCUGGAACCAAAACACAAACCAAAAAAAAAAAAAAAGGAGGAAAUUUUAGAAGAAAAGAAAACCAUCACCGAAUUACACCCUAACAGAACCGAACGAAAUUGACAGAUGAGAAAUAAUAAUUCGUGUAAAAGAAAUUGGGGUUUAUCUGAUUGAGCUUGGAUUAGAAGUUGUUUGCUUAAGAUCGACCUUGAAAUUUGAGAACAAACUUCAAAGCAGCAGAAUGAUAUUGAGAAGUUGGGUUAUUUGGAAAUGCCAGGGUUUAGGGAAGUAGGUGAUUUAUAGUGUAAGAUCAGAAGCAUCGAGAAGUCACGGUUUCUCUUUUUCCUCUUCACGUUUUAUUCCACUGAGCGUAUAAAAUGUGAGGUUAGACAAAAUUUUAGCUUUAGAAACUUCUGCGAGUAAUUUGUUUCCGAAGAUACAAAUGAAAGGGAAAGUUGCAUAAUUGGAUGUUUUGUAUUGAUGAAAAAUAAAUUUAUCAUUUGGACAAAUUGAAUCUCGAUAUGUAUCAAGAAUAUUAAGUGAAAAUAGCAUGACCUAGUUACUUUUUGGAUCGGUAACCAAAAAAUAAUCAGCAUUUGCAAA